rnacentral:rRNA from 1 species
UACGUAGGUGGCAAGCGUUGUCCGGAUUUACUGGGCGUAAAGAGCGCGCAGGCGGCUGGUCAAGUCCGAUGUGAAAGCUCCCGGCUCAACUGGGAAACGGCAUCGGAAACUGAUCGGCUUGAAGAUGGGAGAGGGUAGUGGAAUUCCCGGUGUAGUGGUGAAAUGCGUAGAUAUCGGGAGGAACACCAGUGGCGAAGGCGACUACCUGGCCCAUUCUUGACGCUGAGGCGCGAAAGCUAGGGGAGCGAACGGG